rnacentral:rRNA from 1 species
UACGAAGGGGGCUAGCGUUGCUCGGAAUCACUGGGCGUAAAGCGCACGUAGGCGGAUUGUUAAGUCAGGGGUGAAAUCCUGGAGCUCAACUCCAGAACUGCCUUUGAUACUGGCGAUCUCGAGUCCGGGAGAGGUGAGUGGAACUGCGAGUGUAGAGGUGAAAUCGUAGAUAUUCGCAAGAACACCAGUGGCGAAGGCGGCUCACUGGCCCGGUACUGACGCUGAGGUGCGAAAGCGUGGGGAGCAAAC